rnacentral:rRNA from 1 species
GACGAACGCUGGCGGCGUGCUUAACACAUGCAAGUCGAACGAUGAAGGAGAGCUUGCUCUCCGGAUUAGUGGCGAACGGGUGAGUAACACGUGACUAACCUGCCCCUUUCUCUGGGAUAACGCUCCGAAAGGAGUGCUAAUACCGGAUACGAACUCUGAACACAUGUUCGGAGUUGGAAAGUUGUUCGGAAAGGGAUGGACUCGCGGCCUAUCAGCUUGUUGGUGGGGUAACGGCUCACCAAGGCGACGACGGGUAGCCGGCCUGAGAGGGCGACCGGCCACACUGGGACUGAGACACGGCCCAGACUCCUACGGGAGGCAGCAGUGGGGAAUAUUGCACAAUGGGCGAAAGCCUGAUGCAGCGACGCCGCGUGAGGGAUGAAGGUCUUCGGAUUGUAAACCUCUUUCAGUAGGGACGAGGCGAAAGUGACGGUACCUAAAGAAGAAGCACCGGCUAACUACGUGCCAGCAGCCGCCGUAA